rnacentral:rRNA from 1 species
UACGUAGGGUGCGAGCGUUGUCCGGAAUUACUGGGCGUAAAGAGCUCGUAGGCGGUUUGUCGCGUCUGCUGUGAAAACUGGGGGCUCAACCCCCAGCCUGCAGUGGGUACGGGCAGACUAGAGUGCGGUAGGGGAGAUUGGAAUUCCUGGUGUAGCGGUGGAAUGCGCAGAUAUCAGGAGGAACACCGAUGGCGAAGGCAGAUCUCUGGGCCGUAACUGACGCUGAGGAGCGAAAGCAUGGGGAGCGAACAGG